CGCCGGGCGCAGCAAGGGCCAGACUCUGCGCUAGCAGGCGCUGCGCGCCAACCGGCCGGCACCUGUCGCAGAAGGUGCAACCGAUCGCACUGUCGCGCAGAAGCUCCUCAAUGGCCAGCGCCAGCUGCAGCCCCGGCCGCCCACUCGCCUCAUCUGAGCCUGGGCAAAUCUGGAUUGGGAAAGUUGACAUUAAUCAACUCAUUAUUCCUCACAGAUUUGUAUUCUCCAGAGUAUCCAGGUCCUUCUCAGAGAAUUAAAAAGCCUGUACAGCGCUGCUCUAAGCUGUUGAUGAAAAAUAUUGUUGGUGAGCUCUGCUUAGGUAAUAUAUAGGACAUGAGCAGAGAGGAGGCACGUGAACAGUUCUGGCCUGGAGUAGGCUUCAUUGAGGCUGUGAUGCUUUUAGCUGGAUUUGAAGAAGUGGUAGUGAUCAUCCCAGUGCACAGGAUAGGUGGACAGUCUAUGUAUUCUGAGCAGUAACUCAUAUAUCUCAUACUGCAAGACCCCAAAGGAGUAAUUUUGUGAACUCUGUUCACGGAAAGGGCCUGGGAGCUGCAACACCUCAACAGCAACAAGCACACCUGCUACCUAGAACUUGGUUUCUAAAAACCAUCCUCCUCUAAAAGGAAACAGAGCUCUUUGAAGAAACGAGACAGAUCUCAUUAUGUUGCCCAGGGUGAUCCUUGAUCUCCUGGCCUCAAGUGAUCCUCCAACCUUGGUCUCCCAAAGUGCUGGGAUUACAGAUGUGAACUACCACACCCAGUCAACGUGCAGAAGGUUUUCAGUUUGAUGUAGUCUGAUGUAGUCUCAUGUAUUUAUCCUUCUUGUUGUUGCCUGAGCUUUUGGUGUGAUAUCCAAAAAUAUCAUUGCCAAGAUCAAUAUCAAGAAACUUUCCCCCUAUGUUUCUUACAGAAAUUUUAUGGUUUCAGAUUUUUCAUCCAUUUUGAGUAUAUUUGUGUGUAUGAUGUAAGAUAAGGGUCCAGUCUCCCCAGUGUUGGAUAUCCAAUUUUCAUAACACCAUUUAUUGAAGAGAUUAUUCUUUCUCCACUGUGUUUUCUUGAUGUCCUUGUCAAAAAUUAGUUGACUUUUAUAUGCUUGGGUUUAUUUCUGGGCUCUAUUCUGUU
rnacentral:lncRNA from 1 species